CUAUCAAUAUCAUUUUCAUUAUCAAUAUUAUCAUCAUUGUGAUUAUUACUAGAAGCAGUCUAUCUCUAACCUCUUUUCUAAAGAUAAGCAGAUAAAUCAUAAAUGAAAAGUUAGAUAAUGAUGUUUAUUUUUAUAGAGAUUGAUUGAAUAUUGCUCAGACAAAUUGAUUGAUGGAUAGAGAGGUAGAUAAAUAACUAGCAUUCUAUAUUUUAUAUCAUCAAUCGAUCGGAUAUUAAGCAGGUAGAUAAAUUGGUAAAUAGAUAGUUAAAAUUCUCUAUUCUAUUAGCAAUCAACUGAUAUCACGCAGG
rnacentral:sRNA from 1 species